rnacentral:lncRNA from 1 species
AAGAGGAAGAAGAAGAAGAAGAAGAAGAAGAAGUGAGGUAGUUCCUUGGUUGAAGAAGAAGGUCGCGGGUGGGGUUCUUUGGGUGGUUGUUUGGCUGGUCGGCGGCGGAUUUUAGAGGGAGUUGGGGUGGCGGUUGUUGGUGAUGAUUGUUGCUGGACGUCCGGCGAGCUUGGUGGCGCGGUGGCGUAGCCGGUGAGGAGGCGGCAACAAAAUGGGAUUUGGGUUUUUGGUAGUAUUCUUGGUUGAUAAAGAAGAGGGGACGGUUGAUGCGGGGGUCUCGACAUUUUUGUCUUUCUAGGGUUUGUAGUGAAAGAGGUGGGGACUAAAAGGGAAGAUUGGUCAUGUGAUUGGGCUGCCGAUUUGGGCUAAAACUGUCUUUAAAAAUGGCCCUUCGGUUUUACAAGACUAAAAAUGUUGAUUUCUUUUCUAAAACAAUAUACUAUAAAAUUGUAAAAUCAUUAGUUAUAAAUCAAAACAAACUAUAUUAUGACAUGAAGCUAUUUUGAUAUUUUCAAGGAUUAUGCA